rnacentral:misc_RNA from 1 species
UGUGCCAGCUGCAGACAGUUUC